rnacentral:rRNA from 1 species
CACGUAGGGCGCGAGCGUUGUCCGGAAUUAUUGGGCGUAAAGAGCUCGUAGGCGGCCUGUUGCGUCCGCUGUGAAAGCCCGGGGCUUAACCCCGGGUCUGCAGUGGAUACGGGCAGGCUAGAGGUAGGUAGGGGAGAAUGGAAUUCCCGGUGUAGCGGUGAAAUGCGCAGAUAUCGGGAGGAACACCGGUGGCGAAGGCGGCGACCUGGUCCGAUACUGACGCUGAGGCGCGAAAGCGUGGGGAGCAAACAGG